AUUGAACGCUGGCGGCAGGCCUAACACAUGCAAGUCGAGCGGAUGAAGGGAGCUUGCUCCUGGAUUCAGCGGCGGACGGGUGAGUAAUGCCUAGGAAUCUGCCUGGUAGUGGGGGAUAACGUCCGGAUACGGGCGCUAAUACCGCAUACGUCCUGAGGGAGCAAGUGGGGGGUCUUCGGACCUCUCGCUAUCAGAUGAGCCUAGGUCGGUUUAGCUAGUUGGUGGGGUAAAGGCCUUACAAGGCUACGAUCCGUAACUGGUAUGAGAGGAUGACCAGACACACUGGAACUGAGACACGGCCCACACUCCUACGGUAGGCAGCAGUGGGGAAUAUUGGGCAAUGGGCGAAAGCCUGAUACAGCCAUGCCGGGUGUGUGCAGAAGGUCUUCGGAUUGUAAAGCACUUUAAGUUGGGAGGAAGGGCAGUAAGUUAACACCUUGCUGUUUUGACGUUACCAACAGAAUAAGCUCCGGCUAACUUCGUG
rnacentral:rRNA from 1 species